rnacentral:lncRNA from 1 species
AGUGAGACCUUUGGGUGGUGAUGAUGUUGUGAGGGCAAAGCACUCAUGAAUGAGAUUAGUGACCUCAUAAAAGCAGCCCCAGAGAGCUGCCUUGCCUUUCCUGCCAGGUGAGUACACAGUGAGAAGAUGGCCAACUAUAAGCCAGGAAACAGGCCUCCAUCAACAAGGAAUCUGCCGGCAACUUGAUCUUGGACUUCCCAGCCUCCAGGAUUCUUUCACUGAACACAGUUGAGAAUUCAGAAUUUUUCAUUUUCUGCCCACAAUGGCAAAGAGAAGUGACAAAUGGAGACACAGCACAGUUACGUCAGAAGAUGAAUGCAAAGAGACAGAUGACAGCACUCUAGCAUCAGAUUCUGAUGAAAGGAGAAGAAGACAGAAGAAAGAAGAAGAAGAAACUGAUCAUACAGGCUGAAUGUCCCUAAUACAGAAAUCUGAAGUGCUCCCAAAUCUGAAACUUUUUGAGUGCCAAUAAGAUGCCAGAAGCAGGCAAUGGACAUUGUUAACACUGCAGAAGAAGUGCUUAUUGAUGACUGGUGAAAAUGGCUGAUGGGCUUACUGAAGGCCUAGAGUAGUGUGCAUUCUUAACAGAAGAAGGUAUCAAUCAUAUCAAUUUUUAAAAUCAAAGAGAGAUGUCUAAGAUCAAAACCAGUGUUAACGACGCAGAUGACUCUAGAGGAAACAUUUUUAGAAGCCAACCAGCAGAAAGCCUCCUCAUAACUAGAGGACCCACUUCCUGGUCCCUCAACUGCUUCUGAUGUUUCUUCUCUCCUAAAAAAGCUCAGUGUGCACUAACCUUUUAAUCAAAACACAACAUCAUCAGUGUACGGAUGGGUGAAUUUUUAAACAAAAACACAGCAUUAUAGGUGGAGACUAAAAACCUGCCAUUGUUCAUUGGGGCUGUUGUUUAACAGAUGGUACAGGAAGAAAAAUAUGUUGCAAACAUGGAGGAAAGAUGAUGGCCUCCUUCAACAGAACUAUGAGUUGUCCAAGAUUUCACAAAGUUCUUCAAGCAUGGCAUUUGAUGAUGAGCCCUAAGAUGACUUGAGCCUCACGUCAACUCUCUUUGCUACACGCCCCUCUUUGGAGACCACCACUUCAUGCAAUGGGGAGUGACAUUAGGGCUGAACUUUAAGAAAGAGAACUCUGACAGUAAUGAGAAGACAGAAAAAGAGAAUGACCAGAUAUCCAAAAUGGGAUCGUAGCAUCGAACAUGAGAAGGCCAUGCAUAAGAUGGGUUUAGAAAGACUUGGAUUCAACAAGAGCCUCCAUUCUCCCCUUAUUGCAAUCACCAUGUGAAAAGAAGAGCACUUGGAGAAAAAGGCAUUUUACAUUUGCAGAAGCUCCGCUCAUGGGGUCGAAAUGCAUGCUGCCUCUACCACACUAUAACCGACGAGCUUUUAUUUAAAAGUGUCCCUAAACUAGAACUUUCCACAGCUGAAAACUAAUUGAACAUAUUUCUUUCAAAUCCGAACACACCAGUGAAAAAGGCCUUGCUCACGAAAACAAACACCUUAAGGGCCCAGAGCCAAAUGGGCAAGAUGAAAACGUUUUUGCAGGAAAUAUUCACAGGUUGAGUUGUUCACACAGGUCUGCAAGCAGGUGAAAGAGCAAGCCGCAAAAAGAGCUGCAAAACUGGAAAACAGCACAAGGGUGGCCCAAGGUAAGCAAGCACCAAGGCAACCAGGUAUUCUGUGCCAGCUGAGGACCACAGGUGUCUUGCUAAAGAAUUUAGAGAAGAAAAACUACAUGUGUUUAUAGCUUUAUAUUUAAGCUAUAAUAGACAGAGUCUACCUCUACCAGCACACUGCCAGUUUCAGAAGUCAGCGACGUCAGAAAAGGAGUGAAGGUUAGCCCUGAAAGAACAGAAAAGCAGCAAACUUUUCAGAAGUUAAAAUGGGGACACCCCAUACAAAUGGGUAGAAGUAUCCCAGUAUGGCCUGCACUACAAAGAGAAAAAUUAAAACACACCUUUUUCAAAACCUCAAAGAAAACUCCAAGCCUUAUUUGAAACACAGAAGGACAUCAGUACAACAUUACUAACAAAUCUCUAACAGUCAGCAAGAAAUGAAAUAAAAACUAAUUAAAUUCA